rnacentral:lncRNA from 1 species
AGGGCAAGCCCUCCAAGCCUGGAGGCACACCAAUCAUGAGCCUGUGCGUAAGCCUGUGCGUACCCCUAGACACUCCCCUUACGCUGCCCUAUAAGAUCUUUGGGGAGACCUUAGGAGCCGUCUUUUCUAGCCGUCCGCCAUGGCGGGUGGGUGAAAGACCCGAGCUAACAUGGGGUUAGUUCGUUAAAUUACAAUAAAGCCUCGUGCAGUUUGCAGCAAGCUCUCGAAUCCGCCUGGUGAUUGGGGUGACCGCGAACCUGGCCUGAGACCCCGGAUACUUGAGUUUUCGGGGGUCUAACAUUUUGGGGGCUCGUCCGCGAUUUGCGACCACCCUUCACCUGAGUGGAUUCGAUCUUGGAGUUUAUAAUGUCAGACAGACCGCCAGAUCCGGACAGUGACCCAAAGUCUCCAAAGAAGAUUACGAGGCACCUCAGUUCCUGCACCUGGACCAGUGAGCGAGAUGCUCAGAUGUGAAACCUGCCGCCUGCCAGGACCUGGCCGAGACUGUGGACAAAGCUGCUGGACACUGGAAAAUUGAUUGCACCCCUUUGCCUAGACAAAACAAGGUCAGUCUUUUCCAUGUCCCUUUUCCACAGAGAAAAAAAAAAACUCUCACAGUAUAGGCCUGGCGAAGAUUGCUGGUCUUUGAGACACCUGCCUCCAGCGGUAAUGGAGAAUCUUGGGUAUGGACUGGCUUCUAACUGGCUUCUGUCACUUUUUAGUAGAUUCGGAUAAAAUAUACCCUUCUCAGAUCUCUGAAAUAUUACUGGUUGUCAGCUUGACAGCAUCAGGCAGUCAGGUCCACUAUAGACUAGUCAGUAUGUUAGCUGAUAAAAUAGUAACUAUCUACUGUUCAGGCACAAGCUCAAAGUUUUUAAGUUUAUUUUGGUUGUCAUCUAAGUACAAACUUAAAGGGCUUUUCAUCAGGCCAAAGGCACCUCUGUCCAAUCCAUACCUGGCUCUCUGGACAGAAGAGAAAUGUACAUGCUUAUAGCCCAAAUCUAUAGUUUUUGCUAGUACUCAAAGUUAUAAAUAUGUUCCUGCUGUUUAAACAGAUAUCCAAAUAUCUGCUUUUUCUGUACUGUGGGCUUCAGUAAAUAAGUUUUAACCUCUGUUCCUAGUUUAAACAUGUCUUAAACAGGUUUCUGCUUCUGGCUGACAUCUGAGUAUCAGUUGCUGACUACAGGCUGUUCUAAGUAGACUGCGAGCCCUGGACUUGCUGUGGAUGUAAACCAGUCCAGCUGAUAUGGACACCCCCUGUCUCUGCAACAGUGUCUUCUAACCAGAAGCCCCUGAUGAAUUCCCCAUUGCCUAAAUUCCUUUUUGCUUUUGACUAGCAUUUCAACCUUCUGGGGUCCCUAACUUCGUCCCAAAGUCAGCAGGAAGCAGUUUGGAAAAGAAUUUCGCCGUCCAUUUUCCCUGGUUAAAAUGCUAAGUCAAAGGGAACUCCCUUGCAUGGGGAUGCCAGUAUCUAUCACUCCCUGAUGGGGAUGCUAGAGAGACAGCAAUUCCAUGAUUGGAAUUUACAAAAAAGAAAAUGGGGGAAUGAAGGAACCGGCUUCCCUUUUGGCAGCCAUAACAGCCGAACAUGUGCUUGCCAUAUACCUGCCUUGGUCACUUAGAGGUCAGAUGCCUGUCUUGUGACAAGGAACCAAUCAGAAG